AACUGAUACUACCUGCGGGAACCUGCGGAGGGAUCAUUAAUGAAAUCAUAUUCUCCUUUGGAGUUUCUUCUAGCUGAUGCGUCUUUUGGCUGCACGCUGUUGUCACUCUUUAGGGGUUAUAUUUCCACAAACCCUUCUGUGCAUAUUGGGAGGCUUUAUUGUCCUCUCCUAAUUCAUAUACUCUAAUGUUUAAUCAUGUCAUACAAUGUUAAAUACAUUAAACAACUUUUAGCAAUGGAU
rnacentral:misc_RNA from 1 species